UACGGAGGGAGCUAGCGUUGUUCGGAAUUACUGGGCGUAAAGCGCACGUAGGCGGCUUUGUAAGUUAGAGGUGAAAGCCCGGGGCUCAACUCCGGAACUGCCUUUAAGACUGCAUCGCUUGAAUCCAGGAGAGGUGAGUGGAAUUCCGAGUGUAGAGGUGAAAUUCGUAGAUAUUCGGAAGAAUACCAGUGGCGAAGGCGGCUCACUGGACUGGUAUUGACGCUGAGGUGCGAAAGCGUGGGGAGCAAACAGG
rnacentral:rRNA from 1 species